UGCCCAAAUAAUAUUAUAUUUCCUAAAAUAUUGUGAUUGUUGGUACAAUAGUUUCAAUUUCAUGACUUUAAAGUCCGUAUAUUAAUUACAAUGAAUUUUUGUUUUGUUUUUGUGUACUUAGUGCCGUCGAAAUUUCACGUUAUCUAUAUAGUAGCGGGAGAAAAACCAUUUGAAAAAAAAAUUUGAUUUUCGUCGGUGAUGGCUACUCCGGUAUUUAUAAUCGUUGCCCUCCGUGUGAUAGAAAUUGUUUGAAAAUAAACUCUUCGUUUGUUAGUUCACCAUGUUUUAUGGACAAUA